AGAUGUGUGACACUUUGGUCCUUAAAUUUUAAUUUAUUAUAAUUUUUUUGAUUUUAUUAAAUCAUUAUAAUCAAGUUUCACAACCUAAUUUAAUUGGCUGAAUAUUGAUAAAUUAUUAAUGUAAAAAUAAUAUUAUAUCUUAAUUAUUGCCGCAUUAUCAAUCAUAAUAUUUUCAUAUCGCUACUGCAUUAAUAAUUUGUCAAUAUUUAGCUAACUAAAUUGGGUUCUAAGACUUAAUUGUCAUAAUUCAGUAAAUUCGGUUAAAAAUUAUAAUAAAUUAAAGAUUGAGUACCAAAGAGUCACCGCAUCAUACUUUAAGGACUAAAAGUGUAAUUUACCCUUAUUUUAUUGUUAGUAUUAAUUUAUGUGAGGAUGCUCUUAAAUUCUACCUGUUUGGUAGAUUGGCAGAGAAUAAAUUAGAAGAUGACAAUGAUCUUUUAAAAAAUAUAUAUAUAGAGAGAACUUGAAAAAACACGUGAAUAGUUCUACAAGAUGCUAAGCAGAUUGUGAGAGCCCAAAUAGUCCUAUAUAUGAGAUAUAAUAUGGCUAAACUCUUAACUCGGCUUAAGCAUUUUAGGUGGUGGCAAGGCCUAAGAGGUUAAGAUAGUUAAGCGUGUUAGGACAGGAGUAGUCCUAAGAUGGGUGACCCCCUGGGAAAUUGGGGCGUCACAGAUGGUAUCAGAGCCAAUUACCAGCCGGAAGUGUGAGAUGAGUCUCGGCUGAGCUAGUGUCUGGAUGACGGGCUAGCGAGACGAGUCUCACAUCGCCUGGUACUUGUGAGUCUGAGCCUGACGAGGACGUCAGGGCUUAAAGGAAGGGAGAUUGUGAGACCCCAGAUAGUCCUAUAUAUGAGAUAUAAUAUGGCUAAACUCUUAAUCCGGCUUAAAUAUUUUGGGUGGUGGCAAGACAUAAGAGGUUAAGAGAGUUAAACGUGCUAGGACGGAAGCAGUCCUAGAAUGGAUGACCCCCUGGGAAGUUGGGGCGUCACACAGAUGAUGAUGGACAAUGGAGGUUGAUAAUGGUCGUUGUCAAUAAUUAAUUCGAACAACGUUGAUUAGAUCAAUGGAGUACAGUAAAUGUUGAAAUUUAAUUAUUGACGUU
rnacentral:lncRNA from 1 species